GCCACCUUAGCUCAGUUGGUAGAGCACUUCACUCGUAAUGAAGGGGUCGGCGGUUCGAGUCCGCCAGGUGGCUCCA
rnacentral:tRNA from 1 species